rnacentral:rRNA from 1 species
UACAGGGGGUGCAACCGUUGCUCGGAAUUAUUGGGCGUAAAGCGCGCGUAGGCGGCCACUUAAGUCGGAUGUGAAAGCCCCCGGCUCAACCGGGGAACGACGCAUGAAACUGGCAAGCUAGAGUACCGAAGAGGGGGGUGGAAUUCCCGGUGUAGCGGUGAAGUGCGUAGAUAUCGGGAGGAACACCUGUGGCGAAGGCAGCUCUCUGGGACGGUAUUGACGCUGAGACGCGAAAGCGUGGGGAGCGAACAGG